AGAAAAACAAAUGAAAUAAAAGAAUAGAAAAAGAGAAGAAGAACAGAAAAGAAACAGGGAAAGAGACGAAAACAGGGGAAGAAAAAGGGAAAGAAAAGAAAGGGGGAAAAUUGAGAUUUUGAAGCUUGAAGUUUAAUAGCUAACAAAGAGCCUGAGGCAUCAGCAUCAAAAGGAAAGGAGAAAGCUAUUGAGGAUUAAAUCGGGAGAUUUACGGUUUGUAUUACUAUAAUUCAAGUUAUAUAUAUUAUUAAAUGUUAAAUUUAAUUUAUGUGUUUGGUAAAUGAAAUGUGAGAUAAGUAUAAGUGUUAUUAUUAUUAUUAUUAUUAUUAUUAUUAUUAUUAUUAUUAUUAUUAUUUAGAUGAGUGUGAUUUAAAUUGAAUAGUUGAUAUGAAUUAAUAAUUAAAUUGUUUGUUGAUUGAA